CAGGGGGGUAGCGCACUGCCAACCUGCGGGCGCCGGGGAUGCGCUCGCACGGAUCCACAGGUGCGAGCGCACCUUUGGCGCUCGGGAUGGAGCAAACAGCGGGAAUUCCGCAUUGCCGGCCGGGGAACGGCAGGGAAAUCUCAGCUGGGAGCGCUGCAGUGCCUGUGCAAGGAGCGGGCAGAAGCAGACAGAAAGAGCAAAGCACUGGGAGGAGUGGGGCAGGUGGAAAGAAGACAUCAGAGACUGGAGAAACCCCCACCAAAAUUGCCUCAGGGUGUGGCAGAGCAGUUCAGAGAAGAUCUUACACAUGCUGGUAUAGCACUGAGGAAAUAUUUCCUCUGACACACACUGGCAGUGCCUUCUGAGAAGCUACUCUAUUUCCAGCUCUUUAUGGCAUUUAACAGCAAUGAACUGUGUC
rnacentral:lncRNA from 12 species